rnacentral:piRNA from 1 species
UGAUGAGUGUUACGAGGGCGAACCUGC